rnacentral:rRNA from 1 species
UACGUAGGAGGCGAGCGUUGUCCGGAGUUACUGGGCGUAAAGCGCACGCAGGCGGUCAGAUCAGUCUGGAGUGACAGUCUCGGCUUAACCGACGAAGUGUUCUGGAAACUGUCUGACUUGAGGGCUCAGAGGGACACGGAAUUCCGGGUGGAGUGGUGAAAUGCGUAGAUAUCCGGAGGAACACCAAUGGCGAAGGCAGUGUCCUGGGAAGUACCUGACGCUCAGGUGGCG